rnacentral:lncRNA from 1 species
AUGCAUCGUCGGAAAUCUGUCCCUGCAUCUGGGACUGCACUGCCAGCCUGUGUCACUGCUCAAACUGGAUUAAAUCAUACAGCAUUGGCAGAACAACAGUGCAACACCUACAAAAAAAGAAAAAAAAAAGUCCUUGAAAUUCGUCAUGGCUGUCAGGGGCCCAAACUCAAGAAAUCUGUGCCAAUCAUGAAAACUGUGAGGGUUUUUGGCAGAAAGAAGAGACGACUGAAUUCAGAGCCGCUGAAAUUAUUUCAUUUGAGUUAAUGCAUGUUAUGUGUCCCUGGACAACACAUCCAUUUAAAAUGGUAAGUUGUUGUUGUUGUUGUUGUUUUAAAUAGAGAUGUAAACAUCACCGAAAGCUGAAUAAAUAAGCU